rnacentral:rRNA from 1 species
AGUAAUACAUCGGAACGUGCCCUGUAGUGGGGGAUAACUAGUCGAAAGANUUAGCUAAUACCGCAUACGACCUGAGGGUGAAAGUGGGGGACCGCAAGGCCUCAUGCUAUAGGAGCGGCCGAUGUCUGAUUAGCUAGUUGGUGGGGUAAAGGCCUACCAAGGCGACGAUCAGUAGCUGGUCUGAGAGGACGAUCAGCCACACUGGGACUGAGACACGGCCCAGACUCCUACGGGAGGCAGCAGCU